rnacentral:rRNA from 1 species
UACGGGGGGGGCAAGCGUUGUUCGGAAUUACUGGGCGUAAAGGGCUCGUAGGUGGCCAACUAAGUCAGACGUGAAAUCCCUCAGCUUAACUGGGGAACUGCGUCUGAUACUGGAUGGCUUGAGUUUGGGAGAGGGAUGCGGAAUUCCAGGUGUAGCGGUGAAAUGCGUAGAUAUCUGGAGGAACACCGGUGGCGAAGGCGGCAUCCUGGACCAACACUGACACUGAGGAGCGAAAGCCAGGGGAGCAAACAGG